GCUCAGUUGGUAGAGCAUGGCAUUUGCAAUGUCAUGGAUGUGUGUUUGAUUCCCAC
rnacentral:tRNA from 1 species